rnacentral:siRNA from 1 species
AAAGAGAUGGGCCAUGGGCCA